rnacentral:sRNA from 1 species
UUGACAGCCCUUGAGACCAAUGUCUUCCAGUUACUGAUAAAUCAGGUACAGCACAGAAAGCAGCAGUACUAGCUUUCACACCCAACAAAUGUGCCUCAAUUCUGCACUGCAGGGACCAGUUCUACAGUUUUCCCUUCUCUUUCCCCAGGGCCCUUUCAAUCCCUGGCAUCU